GACGAACCGUGCGAACGUUGUUCGGAAUCACUGGGCUUAAAGGGCGCGUAGGCGGGCCACCAAGUCAGGGGUGAAAUCCCACGGCUCAACCGUGGAAGUGCCCUUGAUACUGGUGGCCUCGAGGGAGGCAGGGGCGUGCGGAACUUUGGGUGGAGCGGUGAAAUGCGUAGAUAUCCAAAGGAACACCGGUGGCGAAAGCGGCGCGCUGGACCUCUUCUGACGCUGAGGCGCGAAGGCCAGGGGAGCAAACGGG
rnacentral:rRNA from 1 species